GUGGCUGGCGGCUGGGUGCCUUCUACUGGUGCUGUGCAGUGGCUUUUCCUAAGGCUGCUGUGAGCCUGUAGGGUUUCCCCCUAGGCUACGAAGCUGG
rnacentral:pre_miRNA from 1 species